UGAGGAAUAUUGGUCAAUGGGCGAGAGCCUGAACUAGCCAUGUAGCGUGCAGGAUGACGGCCUUAUGGGUUGUAAACUCUUUCCACAUGGGAAAAAAGUGAGGGACGUGUCCCUUAUUGCAUGUACCACACGAAUAAGGACCGGCCAAUUCUGCGCCAGCAGCUGCGGUAAUACGGAAGGUCCAGGCGUUAUCCGGAUUUAUUGGGUUUAAAGGGAGCGUAGGCUGUUUGUUAAGCGUGUGGUGAAAUGUAGGAGCUCAACUUUUGGAUUGCAGCGCAAACUGCCAGACUUGAGUGCGCGCGACGUAGGCGGAAUUCAUGGUGUAGCGGUGAAAUGCUUAGAUAUCAUGACGAACACCGAUGGCGAAGGCAGCUUACGGGAGCGCCACUGACGCUAAAGUUCGAAGGUGCGGGUAUCAAACAGG
rnacentral:rRNA from 1 species